UAUGUGGAUUAAUUCGAUGCAACGCGAAAAACCUUACCUACCCUUGACAUGCUAGGAAGUCCGCAGAGAUGUGGAUGUGCCCGAAAGGGAACCUAGACACAGGUGCUGCAUGGCUGUCGUCAGCUCGUGUCGUGAGAUGUUGGGUUAAGUCCCCGCAACGAGCGCAACCCUUGCCAUUAGUUGCGACAUUUAGUUGAGCACUCUAAUGGGACCGCCGGUGACAAACCGGAGGAAGGUGGGGAUGACGUCAAGUCCUCAUGGCCCUUAUGGGUAGGGCUUCACACGUAAUACAAUGGUCGGUACAGAGGGCUGCCAACCCGCGAGGGGGAGCUAAUCCCAGAAAGCCGAUCGUAGUCCGGAUUGUAGUCUGCAACUCGACUGCAUGAAGCCGGAAUCGCUAGUAAUCGCGGAUCAGCAUGUCGCGGUGAAUACGUUCCCGGGUCUUGUACACACCGCCCGUCACACCAUGGGAGUGGGUUCCACCAGAAGUAGGUAGCCUAACCGCAAGGAGGGCGCUUACCACGGUGAGAUUCAUGACUGGGGUGAAGUCGUAACAAGGUAACC
rnacentral:rRNA from 1 species